rnacentral:rRNA from 1 species
CCGUAAACGGUGUCGACCAGCCGUUGGGUGCCUAGCGCAUUUUGUUGCGAAGUUAACGCGAUAAGUCGACCGCCUUGGGAGUACGGCCGCAAGGUUAAAACUCAAAUGAAUUGACGGGGGCCCGCACAAGCGGUGGAGCAUGUGGUUUAAUUCGAUGCAACGCGAAGAACCUUACCUACCCUUGACAUCUACAGAAGCCGGAAGAGAUUCUGGUGUGCCUUCGGGAACUGUAAGACAGGUGCUGCAUGGCUGUCGUCAGCUCGUGUUGUGAAAUGUUGGGUUAAGUCCCGUAACGAGCGCAACCCUUGUCCUUAUUUGCCAGCGAGUAAUGUCGGGAACUCUAAGGAGACUGCCGGUGACAAACCGGAGGAAGGUGGGGACGACGUCAAGUCAUCAUGGCCCUUACGGGUAGGGCUACACACGUGCUACAAUGGCCGGUACAAAGGGCUGCGAGCUCGCGAGAGUCAGCGAAUCCCUUAAAGCCGGUCUCAGUCCGGAUCGGAGUCUGCAACUCGACUCCGUGAAG